GCUCUGAUGGCCUAGUGGUUAGAGCAUCUGCCCCAGAUGCAGGAGGUCACAGGUUCGAUCCUCAGCAGAGUCA